GACGAACGCUGGCGGCGUGCUUAACACAUGCAAGUCGAACGGAAAGGCCCUGCUUUUGUGGGGUGCUCGAGUGGCGAACGGGUGAGUAACACGUGAGUAACCUGCCCUUGACUUUGGGAUAACUUCAGGAAACUGGGGCUAAUACCGGAUAGGAGCUCCUGCUGCAUGGUGGGGGUUGGAAAGUUUCGGCGGUUGGGGAUGGACUCGCGGCUUAUCAGCUUGUUGGUGGGGUAGUGGCUUACCAAGGCUUUGACGGGUAGCCGGCCUGAGAGGGUGACCGGCCACAUUGGGCCUGAGAUGCGGCCAAGACUCCUACGGGAGGCAGCAGUGGGAAAUAUUGCACAAUGGGCGGAAGCCUGAUGCAGCAACGCCGCGUGCGGGAUGACGGCCUUCGGGUUGUAAACCGCUUUCGCCUGUGACGAAGAGUGAGUGACGGUAAUGGGUAAGGAAGCACCGGCUAACUACGUG
rnacentral:rRNA from 1 species